AGAUUAGUGGUAUAAGGCGAACAUCGCUGCCCGGAAAGCAGAAGAUGCGGGUUCGAGUCCCGCCUGGCGUA
rnacentral:tRNA from 1 species